GUGUACAGGUGGUGCAUGGCUGUCGUCAGCUCGUGUCGUGAGAUGUUGGGUUAAGUCCCGCAACGAGCGCAACCCUUGUCCUAUAUUGCCAGCGGGUUAUGCCGGGGACUCACGGGAGACUGCCGGGGUCAACUCGGAGGAAGGUGGGGAUGACGUCAAGUCAUCAUGCCCCUUAUGUCCAGGGCUUCACACAUGCUACAAUGGCCGGUACAGAGGGCUGCGAUACCGUGAGGUGGAGCGAAUCCCAAAAAGCCGGUCUCAGUUCGGAUCGGGGUCUGCAACUCGACCCCGUGAAGUCGGAGUCGCUAGUAAUCGCAGAUCAGCAACGCUGCGGUGAAUACGUUCCCGGGUCUUGUACACACCGCCCGUCAAGUCAUGAAAGUCGGUAACACCAGAAGCCGGUGUGUA
rnacentral:rRNA from 1 species